GUACAGGUUGCACUUGUUGAUUAUGACUCAUUCCUAACAAACAUCUUUGUUGCUUUUUCAAAUCUAGGUUAUAUUUAAGAGUGGAUGGCGCACCUAGUCUAAAAUAUCCAAUAAUACUCUUAGAAGUAACACAAAUGUCAUACCUUCCCUCUGCUGUCCUCUCUCAUCAUCUUCCUCCUUUUCCAGGUAAGGAGCCGGAAACCAGGCAAUGUCCUUGUCUUCAUUCUCCACCAACCACCAACCUGAUGAAAAAGUUGACAGACAAUUAAACAGUCUCAGUAGCAUCUGCAGACCUCUGCUUCGCCUCAAGUCCAUCCCAACAGGAUCCACGAUGCCAGCCGGGGUCACCGGAACUCAUAGAUGGCGGCACUGUGCUCGGGGACGUGGGUGAGGUUUAGAGACUGGUACCUGAAUGAGGUGACACAGCGUACGUUUUGAAAUGUGAGCCGCUACGGCAGCAAAGAAAAAAAAAUGGCGAUGAUUACCAUUCAGAGCUUCGGUGGUAGUAGUAGCCCUCGAUCGUUGCUGUGGAUUUCUGGAAGCAAAUGUAGUAAAAUCCAGCAAAGGAAGCGCCACUAAUGUCUUUGAUUGUGUGAUCCGGAACCAGGAACUGCUCCUAAUGAAAAGCCGAUAUGCCCGACAUUAUUACCAGUACAGCAUCAAGCUUAGGCAAUGAACUGAUACCUUACCUUCCACCUCAUAAAAAUAUAGUCGGAAUUUUUAAGAUCCUCGUAGUCAAAAUCAUCUGAGUUGAACGUCUUUGCAUACUGGUAGAAAGCCUGAAACUUGCCCUGAUGACAAAAAUGAAAUGCUGGUCAUUUUAAAAGAAAGCUGAAAUUAAACAUCUAGUUGUAAAU